ensembl:snRNA U6 U6 spliceosomal RNA
GUACUCACUUCGGCAGCACAUUUACUAAAAUUGGAACGAUACAGAGAAGAUUAGCAUGGCCCCUGCUCAAGGAUGACGCACAAAUUCGUGAAGCGUUCCAUAUCUCU